rnacentral:rRNA from 1 species
GACGAACCAUGCAAACGUUAUUCGGAAUCACUGGGCUUAAGGCGUGCGUAGGCGGCUCAGAAAGUUGGGUGUGAAAUCCCUCGGCCUAACCGAGGAAUUGCGCCCAAAACUACUGGGCUCGAGGGAGUUAGAAGUGAGCGGAACUCACGGUGGAGCGGUGAAAUGCGUUGAUAUCGUGAGGAACACCGGAGGCGAAAGCGGCUCACUGGGGCUUUUCUGACGCUGAGGCACGAAAGCUAGGGGAGCAAACGGG